rnacentral:rRNA from 1 species
UACGUAGGGGGCAAGCGUUGUCCGGAAUCAUUGGGCGUAAAGCGCGUGUAGGCGGCUUGGUAAGUCCGCUCUGAAAGCCCGGGGCUCAACCCCGGGAGGCGGGUGGAUACUGUCAAGCUCGAGUCCGGAAGAGGCGAGUGGAAUUCCUGGUGUAGCGGUGAAAUGCGCAGAUAUCAGGAGGAACACCAGUGGCGAAGGCGGCUCACUGGUCCAUUACUGACGCUGAGGUGCGAAAGCGUGGGGAGCAAACAGG